rnacentral:rRNA from 1 species
UACAGAGGUCCCAAGCGUUGUUCGGAUUCAUUGGGCGUAAGGGUGCGUAGGCGGUGGGGUAAGUUGGAUGUGAAAUCUUGGGGCUUAACCUCAAAUUGCAUUCAAUACUGCUCCGCUCGAGUUCUGUAGAGGAGAUUGGAAUUUACGGUGUAGCAGUGAAAUGCGUAGAGAUCGUAAGGAAGACCAGUGGCGAAGGCGAGUUUCUGGACAGUUACUGACGCUGAGGCACGAAGGCCAGGGGAGCAAACGGG